AUUGAACGCUGGCGGCAUGCUUUACACAUGCAAGUCGAACGGUAACAGGCCGCAAGGUGCUGACGAGUGGCGAACGGGUGAGUAAUGCAUCGGAACGUGCCCAGUCGUGGGGGAUAACCAUCCGAAAGGAUAGCUAAUACCGCAUACGAUCUGCGGAUGAAAGCGGGGGACCUUCGGGCCUCGCGCGAUUGGAGCGGCCGAUGUCAGAUUAGGUAGUUGGUGGGGUAAAGGCUCACCGAGCCAACGAUCUGUAGCUGGUCUGAGAGGACGACCGGCCACACUGGGACUGAGACACGGCCCAGACUCCUACGGGAGGCAGCAGUGGGGAAUUUUGGACAAUGGGCGCAAGCCUGAUCCAGCAAUGCCGCGUGCAGGAAGAAGGCCUUCGGGUUGUAAACUGCUUUUGUACGGAACGAAACGGCUCUGGUUAAUACCUGGGGCUAAUGACGGUACCGUAAGAAUAAGCACCGGCUAACUACGUGCCAGCCGCCGCCGUAA
rnacentral:rRNA from 1 species